UACGUAGGGGGCAAGCGUUGUCCGGAAUUAUUGGGCGUAAAGCGCGUGUAGGCGGUCCGGUAAGUCCGCUGUGAAAGUCGGGGGCUCAACCCUCGGAUGCCGGUGGAUACUGUCGGGCUUGAGUACGGAAGAGGCGAGUGGAAUUCCUGGUGUAGCGGUGAAAUGCGCAGAUAUCAGGAGGAACACCAAUUGCGAAGGCAGCUCGCUGGGACGUUACUGACGCUGAGACGCGAAAGCGUGGGUAGCGAACAGG
rnacentral:rRNA from 1 species